ACGAUUUAAGAACCUGCGUGAUAUCUUCAAAAGGAAACAACACGACAUACGUGAAAAAACAAAGAAGUGGAGCCGGAGCAGCCGACAUUCCAACAAUAAAAUGGCCCCAUUUUGAGCCCAUGCUUGAAUUAAUGGAAGGAGAGUCUGAGCCUGUGGCCAGCCACAUCACAGCAGAAGAGGCUAACGAGAGAUCACCGCCUCGGCCAAGACAUGCAGCGGAACCGGAACGUACCCCUGAUACGGCUGAGGAGACUCGUGUCGACACCUGCAGCAAUGAGUAUCUUACAGGCCCUUGGUUAGGGCAUUGAGUAAGGGGGGCUAACAAAGACAUGUAC
rnacentral:misc_RNA from 1 species